CUCAGUUCGGAUUGGAGUCUGCAACCCGACUCCAUGAAGCUGGAUUCGCUAGUAAUCGCGCAUCAGCCACGGCGCGGUGAAUACGUUCCCGGGCCCUGUACACACCGCCCGUCAAGCCAUGGAAGCCGGGAGUGCCUGAAGUGCGUGACCGCAAGGAGCGUCCUAAGGCAAUACCGGUGACUGGGGCUAAGUCGUAACAAGGUACC
rnacentral:rRNA from 1 species